UUUCCUACAAUGUCCGGUUAAAGUUAACCGACACUUUACUAGAAAUUGUAAGAACGG
rfam:Acyrthosiphon pisum strain LSR1 Contig19220, whole genome shotgun sequence.